GCUGGCAAUACAGGCACUAGCAGUUACAUAAAUCGGUGCUAAAAAUAAACUUCAGAGGCACGGGGUGGGCAGCGGCUGGGGCCGGGCCCGACAGCGCUGCCCGCCGAGGCCCGCGGGGCCGAGCUCAGCCCCGCAGCACCGGGAGCACGGAGGGUCCCCGCCUGCCGGGCCCACCCCAGAGCCACCCCGCCGGCGGCGCUCCGGCCGGGGCCCGCGGCGAGGCCCGGCCCGAUUCAGCCCAACAAGUUGCCAGAGUGGGGACGCGGGCGGCCCCUGCUUACCACCAGCACGGGCACCCCUGCGGUCAGCGAGUAGAGGAGCACCGGGGGCACGGCGCUGCGGUCCUCCGGGCCCGGGUAGGGCUUUCGGUACGCGCCCUCGUAGCAGAAGAAGCCUUGCACGUUGACCGUGAAGGUGUCCGUGUACUCGAAAUAAUAAGCCAGCAUCACGGUCCCUGCCAUGAUCACCAUCUGGAAGUAAAGCAUGCUGCUACAAAGAAAAUGGGUAGCUGGGCACAAACAUAUCCUCACCCAAGUAACAUUCAGAGUAAGAGGACCUACAUUUUGCAUUUGAGUGGCUAUGCAGAACCUUAAGAGCUAAAUCAUGGAGAAGAGAUCAACAAUACAUAACAGUAUUAUUAGAAACAAAUCUGCAUGACAAACUGCACUUCCCUGUUCAUGUGCUGUUUCAUUUCACACUGAAGAAAAAAGUUAUCAGGCAUCUUACUCCAUACCUAAAGGGGAUUACAAGUCUUGGAAUGGGAAUAAAUACACAAAUAAAUUAACACCGACAAGCAUACUUGGCAGAAGCAGAAACCACACUCUAAUUCCAUUCAUCUAAGAGCAGACUCCAGUAUACAUAUCUAGUAUUUCACUUCAGUGUGAUAUCUUUAAAGUCCAUUGCAAAAAAAAAAAGAUUAAAAUUUUAAAAUUCUAGAUUUAACGAAAAAUAUAUUUUGAGAGUUAUAAAUUAAAAUAAGGAUUGUUUGAUAAGUUGUGAUUUUGAAGGCUGUCUAUUUUGAUGGGAGAUGUGAAAUGAUUUUACUUACUUCCUUGAGAGAGAUUAUAAAUAACGUCCUUCUUAGGCAGAAAAUAAAUCCUUAGAACCCAAAGGGUAAAGGAGAAACUAAGAUUGACCUCCUGCUGUUGAAUCAGCUGUAAAUUGUCUGAGUCAUCUUGAUUCUCAGAUAUGAGAAAGCUCACAAUUCAAUGAAGAAUAAAUUGCAUAAAGAGCUCUGCAGAGUGCAUAACCAAGUCAGAGAUAAAUGUCAGCCAGGAUCUCCUGAGAAGCAUGAAAAAAGGGCAUUGCUGUAUUGCUACAAAACAUAGCAGGACGAGGGAGGUGAUGCUCCCCCUCUACCCCGCUCUUGUGAGACCCCCCCUGGAGUACUGCAUCCAGCUCAGGAGCCCUCAGCAAAGGAACAACAUGGACCUGUUGGAGUGAGUCCAGAGGAGGCCACGAAGAUGAUCAGAGGGCUGGAGCACCUCUCCUAUGAGGACAGGCUGAGAGAGUUGGGGUUGUUCAGCCUGGAGAAAAGAAGGCUCCGGGAAGACCUUAGAGCAGCCUUCCAGUACCUAAAGGGGCCUACAAGAAAGCUGGAGAGGGACUGUUUACAAGGACAUGGAGUGAUAGUACAGGGGGGAAUGGCUUUAAACUGAAGGAGGGUAGAUUUAGAUUAGAGAUUAGGAAGAAAUUCUUUAGUGUGAGGGUGAUGAGGCAGUGGAACAGGUUGCCCAGAGAAGUUGUGGAUGCCCCAUCCCUGGAAAUGUUCAAGGCCAGGUUGGAUGGGGCUUUGGGCAACCUGGUCUAGUGGAGGGUGUCCCUGCCCAUGGCAGGGGGGUUGGAACUGGGUGAUCUUUGAGGUCCUUUCCAACCCAAAACAUUCUAUGAUUUUAUGAUUCUAUAUCCCCAAUAAAAACUAAAAAAAGACAAAGCCUAUGAGCAUCGUUAAGCACAGUUCAGAGCUCUAUGCCAAGAAGUCAGAAGUCCCUUGCACAUUAAGGUAAAUUUUUCACAAAAUUUAGAUAGGUAGUUGAUGAAUGUAACUCACAAAUAUCCUAAGUACAUAGAAGUCAAUAUUCUCAAAGGUACUUAUACUAAAGGAUCUGCCUACUUGCAGAGUUAGGAAUGCAGGAAUAUUCUAAUUCCUGCGUUCAAAAAAGGUAAGUUUAGUAAUUUCUGAAAGUUAAUACUGGGUGAAAGAAUUAUACCUUCUUUAGAGAUUCCAGUGAGUAUACUUAUACACACAAGUGGAAAAAAAGAAAAACAGAUAAAACAGCUGGGGAAACUAACUUCUGAUAUUGCAUGGCUUUGAGGAGAUUGAUCUCAAAAUCUGAUGCUUACAUGAAUUUCUUUAAUGGAAAAGAUGCUAGCAGGAAAACAAUAAAUAAACAAGUGCAGCAACAUACCAUAAGAAUUCAAUGUCUGAUACAGAAAACCAAGUGCAAAAGAGACUGUAUAAAUGAUACCUUGAACCAGGAGGAGCUCUUGACAGCAAUAGCAUAUAACAGAUGUUUGCACAGCUCAAGUUCUGCCAUGCAGAUUCAGUUUUUGAGCUUUCAAAGUCUUAUAGAAUUUACAUUUUUCCCUCCAGCUUGGGUAGUCAGAUACAGACUCUUAGAUCCAUCCACUAGGAUCAACAGAUAAAAAGAGGUUAAUCUCUUUGAAUUAGACUAAUGAAAGUAUCUGGAACAGAUGACAGAAUACCCAAGUGCAUCUUUUCUAUAAUUUGUCAAUUGAAGGGGACAGGGGUUUCUGGAAAGUAGUAGCUUACAAGACUUUUUUUGACAGUAGUAGCUUACAAGACUGUUCUGUAGAGAAAAGCUGACAUUUUGAAAGGUAUAGAGCUUAGUAUCACCAAAAGAAUAAAGUCUACAGAGACUCUGAUUUCCCUACCACUGAAAGUUUCUGUACAUCUUAUCUGUUUAGACUAAAUUUCUUUCCCAAGGUUAGAAAUAAGUUAGGAAAAAAUUCCACUAAAUAUUGCUAGAAAGGCCAAGAGCACAGAGACUAGUUCUACCAAAUAAAUUACCUCCUGCUAUAACAUUAUUGCUUAGCAGAGCUGAGCCUAUGCUUCGGAGCAAGCUCUAAGAAGUGCAGAAAACCUUAUUCUGCCUUGUUGCAAGAGAGAAACUAUUCUUAGCUUUCUCCUAAUGUACAUCACUCUGAUGUCCACCUUUUCUUUUGCUCCUAACUGCAGGCUACUCAUGAAAAAGUCAUAUUUUUCUGAGGAGAGUGAAGUAGAACCCGACUAACAUGUAUGUAACUAUUGCCUGCUGUAACUUCCAACAAGCACCCUUACAUCUCCUUCCAGGGCUAAGGUACUUACUGACCUUCUUGUAGCUUUAGCUGUGCUGCCCCUGCUUAUCUCCCAACCAGGAGUGCUGGGCCAGGCUCUAGCUGAGGGCUAAGCCCGAGCUUCCCAGCUGCUGUAGAGCCCAGGAGAAAGUGCUGCCAAGACGUCAGUGGCGUGGAGAACCACAGCAUCUCACACACGCUUCUCUGACAAGCAAACUAGGACUUGCGUACAGUCCUGUGUCAUACCCUGUAUCCCAUUUACAUCUGCUCAAAUGCUCUAAUAUACAACUCAAUAAAGGCUGACAGAUUUCCAGGAAAGCGGAUUUUUUCUGUGUCCCAUGCAAAACAAACUCUUGAAAUACAGCCUGGCAAAGCUGCACACAGCUACUUAGUUACUCCUGUGCUUCUGCAAAUAAACAGUUUCUCUGACAGA